rnacentral:lncRNA from 1 species
CAGAAACACCCCGACUCUCAUUUCUAUCUUUCAACUUACUAAGAAAUCCAAGAAGCAGAACUUCAAGUGUUUAACACUAGACUUUAUAUCUAAGUCACCAGGAAUUAGCUAGAAUCAAGUAAGGAUAUCAGCAACUUUGUAGUAUUAUAAAUAGUUGUGCACAAACAAUAUUACCCAUGUACUACUAUUAAAUAGUAAAAAAAUGAUGUAAAAGAUUUACAAACCUUAUCAAUAUUUAAUUGGGAAAUACUCG